rnacentral:rRNA from 1 species
ACGAACGCUGGCGGCGUGCUUAACACAUGCAAGUCGAACGGGUCUGCCCUGUUUUUUGCGGGGUGGGUCAGUGGCGAACGGGUGAGUAACACGUGAGUAACCUGCCCCUCACUUCUGGAUAACCGCUUGAAAGGGUGGCUAAUACGGGGCGUUCUGGCUGUGCCGCAUGGUGUGGCUGGGAAAGAUUCACUUUUGUGGUGUUUUGGUGGGGGAUGGGCUCGCGGCCUAUCAGCUUGUUGGUGGGGUGAUGGCCUGCCAAGGCUUUGACGGGUAGCCGGCCUGAGAGGGUGGGCGGUCACACUGGGACUGAGAUACGGCCCAGACUCCUGCGGGAGGCAGCAGUGGGGGGUAUUGCACAAUGGGCGGAAGCCUGAUGCAGCGACGUCGCGUGAGGGAUGGAGGCCUUCGGGUUGUGAACCUCUUUCGCCGGUGAAGAAGGUCCUGCUCUUUGUGGUGGGGUUGACGGUAGCCGGGUUAUGAAGCGCCGGCUAACUACGUG